UUCAUUGCAUCAGUGCAUGUUAUGGCACCUUUGGGAUGUGUUAGUCAUAAGAAUGAAGCUACUGGUGCUUUGCAGGCAUAUUUUAACUUUGGCUCUCACAUGAGAGCUCUGACACAUCCGUGCUGUCUGCACAUCUGGGUAGCGUUUGCCUGCAGAUCCUCCUGAGAUUCCAGACCACUCAAAAAAAGGAAACAUCUAAUUUAUAUUUGCCAAGGUGUUGGGUUCCCAAAGCCCUGGUGACUUCAGCAGAUCCCAUCUGAGCUGUGCAGUCCAGCCCUGGCAUUUGGAUGAGGACCUGGCAGCACACAGGGCCAGAGAGCAUCUGAAAUCUGGCUCAUGACUGUUGAAAGAGCUCUGCAGAAAAACAGAAUGCAUUGGAUAAAUGCAAGUUGAAUCGAGGUGAUUGUGCAUUAGUGCCCCUGGUUGUGAAUUCCCCCUCGUGUCUGAAGAAUAUCCAAGGGUGAUGGGAACAAGCCCAGCAAAGCCCUGCUGGAUCCUGCACCAGCCACUAGAGCUGGGCUUGGAGUUCUCUUUCUGCAAAUCACUCCAUCUUCCCUCUUAGAAAUGCAACAAAUGUAAAGGAAAGGACCCAACUGUGACUGGAGGAGAAGUGUUUUCAAGCCAGAGAGCUUUGUUCUUACCCUCCGUGCUCCAGACAUCCACCAGAGCGAGACAGAGCAGGACGUGGUGCCAAAAUUAAUAUUAUUUUUGGAAAGAGGUUGAUCCUGGAAAGUAAGUUCAUGAAAGAGGAAGAGAAACAAGGGAUUGUUAGUUAAGGUCACUUUGAGGUCUGGCACUCGUGACCCAGAAAAGCCCAAAAGCUUUGGAUUCAGUCCCCCCAAACACCGAAGGAAGCGACUGUGAUUGCAUCAUUCCAGGAGAGCACGGGGCAAUUCCACAGGCAGGAAUGGAACAACUUUGCCAUGUUGGGAAGGGUUUGACAGCACCCAUAAGCACCUCUAGGUGAGCCUGCUGCUCACACCAGCCUGCCAAGAACAUGCCCAUCCUUGGGACUCUGGGAAUGCUGGGAACUGCUGGGCCCCUGUGGCUGGGCACGGAGCUCGGCUCUCUCACCACUUCCUUCCUCCACAGCAAAUGGAACAGUAAAACCUAAAGAAAAUAAAUACAGAGUGGGUAUCUGGGUAGGCCAAAUCCACAUCCAGCUUCCCAGAGCCCUUUAUUAGAAAGUGCCUGAGCGUUUGAGCACGUAGAGCUGGGGCUAUCAGGGAAUCAAGGACACUUCCCACUCCUCCACCCAUUACAUCACCGGGAAUUUAACCGAGGUUGGGAUAUUGGGACCUGUGGCUUGAGUCAGCUCUGCCCACUUUCCCCUGAGACUGGAGUAUUUAUUGUUGUUUUUUAUAGUGAUGUAAUAAACCAGUUAUCAGGAGAACCCCGGUCCAGGAUGGAAGUUUUCCUUAGUUGAGCCAAACUAACAAAGACCUGGGGAGUGUAAAUAUUGCUCUGUCUGCCCCUCUGCUUUGGGGAUGCUACAGACAGCCCUGGCUGGAGAGUGAGAAAAGUCAGGCUGCUAAAAUAUCCACUGAAGCAGCAACAGAUGUUAAUAAGUGCAGAGUCCAUCCCUGGAAUGACCACAAAAUGGGAAUAAAUGUCACAGCAGCCCCUAACAAGCGAGUCGUGGAGGGCUUAGUUCUACAGAGUGGGCAAGAAACCAAUCUCCAUGGAAAUCUUUCCCUGCACUUUCCCCCCUUUUUAUAAAGUCCCAAGGCUAAUUAGUGCCUGGCAACACCUCGAGAAAGAUGAAACCUCGUUUAGGGCUCCUUGCUUUGACACACAGUUAAAGGAUCAGGGAAACAGAAGUCUUUUUUUGGUAUCUCAUAUCCCACAGACACAGAGUACCUGUAAGAUGAGAAGAAUGUGCUCAGCUUUAAUUAGCUUCCUAGACCUGCAGACACACUUAACAAGUGCAAAGGCUGCCUUAUCUGGGCCUGAGAUCAGACUGCUCCAGUCAUUAGCUCCCAAUUGCUCCUCUCUGCUUUGCUUUGCUGAAACCUCCUCGGAUUUGGAGGGAUGUGGGCAAGAAACCACAAUUAAAAUUCGGAAGAAGUGAAGAAGGAGAUGAAGAGAUGAAAUACUGAUAAAGCUACGUUUUACUUGGCUAAAAAAAAAAAUAGUUUUGAAAAUGUUAUUAUUGUAAGUGUUGAAUUUGCUUUAAGGUAAUCAGGAAUGUUUUAUUGAGGGGUUGAGAGGUGGUUCCUGAUUUGUCUCUGCGUGUCAAAUUUAUUUAUUUAUGUAUUAAUAGAUCUGUUGCUUCCUCCAGGAAGGCCAGUGUUGAUACCCCUCACAGGGGUGGCAGAUCCAGAAGGACAUGAAAUGUGUCCUGGACAAAUUUUGGGAUGCACAUCCCAGUCCUGGGAGCAACGGGACUAACUGGGAGCUGGAGCCAGGAUUAUCAGCCAGCCUUUAGAUAUCAGAGCAACGCUUGUAGCAGACCUUGUGUUUCAGGCUGAGGGGAAUCACCUCCAACCCAAAAACAAAACCUUCACCACAGCAAAGAAUGCUUCAAAUUCCCUGGAAGAAAGUUGCUUUUUAUCUUCUCUGGCACCAACUCUUUAAGCAUUUUCUAGUCCCAGACAAUCUCAAGCACUAAGAAAUGCAGCAUUUCUAGAUAUGGAAUGGGCAAAUGCUCAACAAGAGAGUGGGAGAAAAUCCUUUUCCCCUUUAUUCCUCAAAGCUGUUUUUAGUCAUUAAAUCGAGCUGACAACGAGCUGAAUUUGAUUUACUUCCUACAUUUAAGCAGAAAGACAUAAAGCAACAGAAACCAUCUGACACAAUUGACAUUUAAUAUGGUUCAUCUGUCAUGAAGAUCUCCUGUGACUGCUUUUCUAAUUCCUGUUAACACAACUUCCUCAUGCUAAUUACUGCCACACUUGGCUUCUGUGUGUGCAGACAACAGUAACAAUGGCCAUAAAGCCACAGUCCCUCAGCCUUCAGCAUCCUCAGUGUUGUACUUUCCAACCCAGGACUGGUUUCCAAACCUUAAAUAAUCAGCUGAGCUGAUUUGCACAUUUUACAAACCUAAUUAGCCCUCAGUAUGGAUGAAGAUCAUGAAGAUUUUUGUUCUGGCUAAUAAUAGUUGUACCUUAUCUUGCUUUGCCUUUUAACUAAACAUGCCCUAAUUGUGUAUUUGCAUUUGCUGGCAUGUGCAAAACGUUUUAAGUAGCUGGGCAGAGUGGAUAAUUGGUAUUGUACAUUCUGUACUCUCGUGGUACAGCAGAAAAUUGCUGGGGGGAGGCAGGUUUUCGAGCACAUCAUCCACAUUAUUCAUUCAUUCAAACAGAGGAAUUGUGGAUGAGACCCCCUGUAUUAGUGCUCUGAGACUGGUAUUCAACAGGCAGGAUUUCUUAUCAAAUCUUUUUAAUGAAAUCAUACAGAGUUUGGAUGAUUAAUGGUUUGGAACCACAGAGGUCUGUGCUGUAAGUUGUGCUUCUCCAUCAGGUUUUGUUUUCUGCUUGCUCAGUUCCCAUCCCAACCAGAACCAGGAAUUCUGCCCUCAGACUGCCCGUGUUCUUGUUCCUCUGCUUCCUCCUCUUUCUCCUGUGGAAGACACGAUUGUAGCACCAACAAAUAGGGAGUAAAAUAAUCAAUAAAAAGUGUUCUGUGUAGAAAA